rnacentral:rRNA from 1 species
UACGUAGGCAGCGAGCGUUGUUCGGAGUUACUGGGCGUAAAGGGUGUGUAGGCGGUUGUUUAAGUUCGGUGUGAAAUCUCCCGGCUCAACUGGGAGGGUGCGCCAAAUACUGAAUGACUUCGAGUACGGGAGAGGUGAGUGGAAUUCCUGGUGUAGCGGUGAAAUGCGUAGAUAUCAGGAGGAACACCGGUGGUGUAGACGGCUCACUGGACCGUAACUGACGCUGAGACACGAAAGCGUGGGUAGCAAACAGG